UGGGGAAGUGUUGAGAGCGGGUGCUAGUGAUUUGCUCGACAACCAAGUUGACAAUGGUGCCCCCAAGGUGUUCGAGAGAUACAGUCAAAGGGUUUCCAGUGUAAGUUCUUUUUGCAGCUGAUGUAGAUUGUUUACUGAAAAUGCCAUGGGCUUUUUAUGAAGUGAUUUUUAGCCACAUUUAGUCGAUUUUUGCUCGUGCUGGCUUUUAUGUUUAUUUAUAGUGUUCCAGGAGCGGGAAAUUGUGAAUAAAAACGUUUUAUACAAAAGAAUUUGCAAUAUGUGUAGUGUAGGUACCAGGUGUUUGAUACAAGUCCCGUGUCAACUGUUGCCUAUUAUUUGUGAAGUUAUCAUCUGAUUAUGGGUGUUUUUUUGGAUCAAUCAUCUUGUCGUUUUUACAGUAAAAUACGUUAUGUUUUUUUUUUCUUUCCUUUCUAAAAAUGUCGAACUUUGAAGUUGUGAAAUUUGAAGGAACUAUGAAACUGGUCCG
rnacentral:lncRNA from 1 species